CCCCUCUUUCCGUCUUCACUCUUCACCUAUCUGUGGCUUUCUCUUUCCGUCUUCACUCUUCAGUCUUCACCUAUUUGUGGCUUUCUCUUCCUCACCCUUUAUUUAGUCUUUCUUUCCUCACCCUGUAUUCAACUGCUCUUUUUCAGAGACAUCACCACUGCACUUCGGUAUCCUCGCCCCACCGCCAUCUUCGGUCAACCUCGGUGGCACCACAAUCGCAGCACCACGCACAAGGAACGCCUUCCAGAUCUGUUCCCAUCGAUUUUAAUAUCUUUUUUAAGAUCUGGGUUUGACAUGCAUGUUCUAUGAAAGAAAUUGUAUCUGCAAAUCUGCAAUUUUUUUCUUUUCUUGAGAUCCAGUUGGCUGUAAUUCAUGUUAUUCAGUUGGCUGUAAUUCAUGGCUAG
rnacentral:lncRNA from 1 species